GCGACUUCGAGACUGAGGGGUGGUCGUCCAUCCCGGACGAGCCCCCAAAUGAAAGGACCCCCAACAGGGGAGACCCCUCCUCAAGUCACAGGUGACGGCGCAACCCCAAUCAGUCACGGAG
ensembl:miRNA